rnacentral:rRNA from 1 species
CCGUGGAGCUUUACUGUAGCCUGAUAUUGAAAUUCGGUACAGUUUGUACAGGAUAGGUAGGAGCCUUAGAAGCGUGAGCGCUAGCUUACGUGGAGGCAUUGGUGGGAUACUACCCUAAUUGUAUUGGAUUUCUAACCCGCAGCACUUAUCGUGCUGGGAGACAGUGUCAGGCGGGCAGUUUGACUGGGGCGGUCGCCUCCUAAAGAGUAACGGAGGCGCUCAAAGGUUCCCUCAGAAUGGUUGGAAAUCAUUCAUAGAGUGUAAAGGCAUAAGGGAGCUUGACUGCGAGACCUACAAGUCGAGCAGGGUCGAAAGACGGACUUAGUGAUCCGGUGGUUCCGCAUGGAAGGGCCAUCG